CGCCGCGAUGACGUCACGGGCACGCCGCCGUACAGCGACUCGCGUCCCGGAAGUGCUGGUGACAGCGGAGGUGGCCCUCAUUCCUGCCACUUCAGAACGGCCCUAGGAGGCGUCGCAACACAGUGGUGGGGUGGGGCCGAAGAAAUUGUCGGCGGGCCAGUGGCCUUCCCGGUGCUCCGGGCCGUCCCUUCCCCUCCCUCCACCAAGCCAGCGACCGGGAUGCAGACAUCAGAGCGUGAGGGGAGUGGUUCAGAAGUGAGCCCCGGUGUGAUGUCUGAGGCAUUCUCGGAAUGUCCACCUGUCCCUACCAAGACCCCAGCAUUUGAUCUUUUCAACUUGGUUCUGUCCUACAAGAGACUGGAGAUCUACCUGGAACCUCUGAAGGAUGCAGGUGAUGGUGUUCGAUACUUGCUCAGGUGGCAGACACCUUUGUGUUCCUUGCUGACCUGCCUGAGCCUCAACAUCUUGUUCCUCACGUUGAAUAAGGGUGCUUGGUACUCGGUGGGUGCCUUGAUGAUUUCAGCCCCCGCCCUGCUCGGCUACCUUCAGGAGGUUUGCCGGGCACGGCUGCCAGAGUCCGAGCUGAUGCGGAAGAAAUAUCACAGCAUAAGGCAGGAAGACCUGCAGAAAGUUCGCCUUUCCCGCCCUGAGGCCAUGGCUGAGGUGAAGAGCUUCUUGAUUCAGCUGGAGGCCUUUUUGACCCGUCUGUGCUACACCUGUGAAGCCGCCUACCGAGUGCUGCACUGGGAGAAUCCUGUGGUGUCCUCACAGUUCUAUGGAGCCCUUCUGGGCACAGUUUGCAUGCUGUAUCUGCUGCCGCUCUGCUGGGUACUCAUCCUUUUAAAUAGCACACUCUUUUUGGGGAAUGUGGAGUUUUUCCGAGUGGUAUCUGAGUACAGGGCAUCUCUGCAGCGGCGGAUGAACACUAAGCAGGAAGAGUGUACCUUUGAAAGCCCACUGCUAUUGGAUGCUGAGGGGAAGGGUGCUCUGCUGGACAGCACUCCUGCCCCCACACCCACUGAGAAUCUUUCCUCCCAGGACCUCACGCCGGGCAGUGUGGAGGAGGCUGAGGAGGCUGAGCCGGAUGAAGAAUUCAAAGAUGCCAUUGAGGAGACCCACUUGGUGGUGCUGGUAAGUAGGAGUGCUGGUGAGGUGGGCAAGGGCUGGACUGGGCGUGGGGGGAGAGUGGCUAAGCCAGCCGUGCCGCACCUCAUGGGGUCUGCUCUGGCCAGGUGCUUCUGCAUGCAGGUCCUAGGCCUUCCAAGAGGGGGGCAGGACUGGAACGAGCUGUUCCCACAGGAAGAUGAUGAGGGCACCCCAUGCCCAGCAGAGGAUGAGCUGGCCCUACAGGAUAAUGGGUUCCUGAGCAAGAAUGAGGUGUUGCGCAUCAAGGUGUCACGGCUCACAGAGCGGCUUCGAAAGCGUUACCCUACCAACAACUUUGUGAUGAAGGGGCACAUUGGACGAAUGAAGACCAGUUAUUCAGGAGCUUCUCUGUGGCCUCCAAGUGUGGAACUGUACAGGCUGCUCUGCUACCUUCUCAGUACUGAAGAAGCGGCGGAGCUGCAGUAACUGUGGGAACAGCUUCUGCUCUCGGUGCUGCUCCUUCAAGGUACCCAAGUCCUCCAUGGGGGCCACAGCCCCUGAAGCCCAAAGAGAGACUGUGUUUGUGUGUGCCUCAUGUAACCAGACCUUGAGCAAGUGAGAAGAGAGGCCAGGCUCCAACUGCCAGCAGUCCUGGGGCCAACAAUAGACCUCCUCUCCCUACCUCUGGCCCCUGUGGCUUGUGCUGGGCAAACGUGGCCUGACUGCUCAGUAGGCUUCCCCUUUCUUCCCCUUUUUUCAGCCAGGCUGGCAGUGCUGUGCUCAGAGCUCGAGGGAGAGGUGCCCCUAGACGGUCUGUUUGCUUUGCUCUGCCCAGGUUAGUUAAGUGGACUAAGGGCUGGUCAGGGAGCUAGGCCUGGCUCAGCUGAGCUGUAAUGAUUAGGACCAAUAUGGCUGGGCCUGGAGAUCCUGGCAGACCAGCACUUGGGAAAAGUUCUUCCCUACAGAACAUGGGGCCAGUCCCUCAGCCUGAGAGCCUUCAAGACAGUUUGGGAAUGCCACACCUAGCUCUGCUGUUUGAAUGUCCCUCUUCCAGGUACCAGGAUCCGAUCAUUUCCCUAUCAGAGGGUGUGGCCAGGGAUAACCAGAUUGUUCUAAAAGCAAGGCUGGAGUUCUCAGGUUCCUCCAGAGGAGAGCAGUGUACAGAGAACUCAUACAGUCCUCUAGUAUCUGUGGAACACAGCAUGGGGAAGCUCCACUAUGGAGUGGACUGGCAUGAUGCCCUGGAGUCCUCAGUUCCACCUGGGUGGCUGAAGGGCAGGCACUCAGAUCACUCUUGCUCCCCCACCCAAGUGCAGGGAAACCUUCCUCUGACCUGUGCCACCUCUCCCUUCCCUAUCCUUUGUCCCAUGGAAUGUGAAGUCAGGUGAGCAGAGCAGAGGUCCAGAAGCCCUUGACCUUGAGGGUCCUGGGAAGUGUAGAAUCUUGCUGGUCUGGGUCCUAGAUUCCAGGGCCAUUUCCUGGAGGACAUUCUCAAUUACAAGAUAAGGCCACUAAGGGUCCCAUCUUUCCAACAAUUUCAUAUUUCCUUCUGGAUGUUCAGGGGCCUAGCAUCUUUCCUAAAGCCAUGACCUGGUUGAGCGCCCCCCAUCCCCCUAGCUGCCCUGCCUUUAUAGAGUAUUUAUUUAUUUAUUUCAUGGUUCCUGGAAACAUACAGCACAGGGGAAUGGGAUAAAGAGGGUGAGGGUCUUCUGCCCUGGAGUCAUAGCCUGCCUGGGACCUCAAGGCAUAAGUGGCUAGGUGUUUCUACUCCCUAAGCAUGGACUUGAGGCAGGUGGGAGGACAAGCAGCCCACCCUAGGCCUGCUUUCUUGCCAGGCCACGCUAUUUGGUGAGGGUUUGGCAACUGGGUCUGGUCCUGGUCAGGCAAGGAACCAGGCUUGGGAGAAAAGGCAGGCCUUGGUGUCCCCAGUUUGCCUUGUUAGAGAUGAGGGUUAAGUUUUUCUAUGCUUAUUUACACUGGAGAGGAGUGAAAGGAUCUCUAUGUAUGGAAAAUUAUCAAUAAAAGGCUUCAAGCUUCUUA